rnacentral:misc_RNA from 1 species
GAUGAAGAACGCAGCGAAACGCGAUAAGUAAUGUGAAUUGCAGAAUUCAGUGAAUCAUCGAAUCUUUGAACGCACAUUGCGCCCGCCAGUAUUCUGGCGGGCAUGCCUGUUCGAGCGUCAUUACAACCCUCAGGCCCCCGGGCCUGGCGUUGGGGAUCGGCGGAGCCCCCCGUGGGCACACGCCGUCCCCCAAAUGCAGUGGCGGUCCCGCCGCAGCUUCCAUCGCGUAGUAGCUAACACCUCGCGACUGGAGAGCGGCGCGGCCACGCCGUAAAACACCCAACUCUUCUGAAGUUGACCUCGAAUCAGGUAGGAAUACCCGCUGAACUUAAGCAUAUCAAUAAGCGGAGGA